rnacentral:rRNA from 1 species
UACGGGGGGGGCAAGCGUUGUUCGGAAUUACUGGGCGUACAGGGCUCGUAGGCGGCCAACUAAGUCCGACGUGAAAUCCCCAGGCUUAACCUGGGAACUGCGUCGGAUACUGGAUGGCUUGAAUCCGGGAGAGGGAUGCGGAAUUCCAGGUGUAGCGGUGAAAUGCGUAGAUAUCUGGAGGAACACCGGUGGCGAAGGCGGCAUCCUGGACCGGCAUUGACGCUGAGGAGCGAAAGCCAGGGGAGCAAACGGG